rnacentral:rRNA from 1 species
GAUGAACGCUGGCGGCGUGCCUCAAACAUGCAAGUCGAGCGGGGCUAUGUAAUAUCGCAAGGUAGAACAUAGCCUAGCGGCGAACGGGUGAGUAACACGUGGGUAACCUGCCUGGAAGACAGGGAUAACGAUUCGAAAGGGUCGCUAAUACCUGAUAAUAUCCUUUCAUCGCAUGGUGAUAGGAAGAAAGGGGAAACCCGCUUUCAGAUGGGCCCGCGUCCCAUCAGCUAGUUGGUAAGGUAAAGGCUUACCAAGGCGACGACGGGUAGCCGGUCUGAGAGGAUGUACGGCCACACUGGGACUGAGGUACGGCCCAGACUCCUACGGGAGGCAGCAGUUGGGAAUCUUAGGCAAUGGACGAAAGUCUGACCUAGCGACGCCGCGUGAGGGAAGAAGGCCUUCGGGUUGUAAACCUCUGUCAUGGGGAAGAAGUAAGUGACGGUACCCAACGAGGAAGCCCUGCUAACUACGUG